UACACUCCUACGGGAGGCAGCAGUGGGGAAUAUUGCACAAUGGGCGCAAGCCUGAUGCAGCCAUGCCGCGUGUAUGAAGAAGGCCUUCGGGUUGUAAAGUACUUUCAGCGGGGAGGAAGGCGAUAAGGUUAAUAACCUUGUUGAUUGACGUUACCCGCAGAAGAAGCACCGGCUAACUCCGUGCCAGCAGCCGCGGUAAUACGGAGGGUGCAAGCGUUAAUCGGAAUUACUGGGCGUAAAGCGCACGCAGGCGGUCUGUCAAGUCGGAUGUGAAAUCCCCGGGCUCAACCUGGGAACUGCAUUCGAAACUGGCAGGCUAGAGUCUUGUAGAGGGGGGUAGAAUUCCAGGUGUAGCGGUGAAAUGCGUAGAGAUCUGGAGGAAUACCGGUGGCGAAGGCGGCCCCCUGGACAAAGACUGACGCUCAGGUGCGAAAGCGUGGGGAGCAAACAGGAUUAGAAACCCCAGUAGUCCCAUG
rnacentral:rRNA from 1 species